CCUACGGGAGGCAGCAGUGGGGAAUUUUGGACAAUGGGCGCAAGCCUGAUCCAGCAAUGCCGCGUGAGUGAAGAAGGCCUUCGGGUUGUAAAGCUCUUUUGUCAGGGAAGAAACGGUGGGAGCUAAUAUCUCCCGCUAAUGACGGUACCUGAAGAAUAAGCACCGGCUAACUACGUGCCAGCAGCCGCGGUAAUACGUAGGGUGCAAGCGUUAAUCGGAAUUACUGGGCGUAAAGCGUGCGCAGGCGGCUUUGUAAGUCUGUCGUGAAAGCCCCGGGCUCAACCUGGGAAUUGCGAUGGAGACUGCAAGGCUUGAAUCUGGCAGAGGGGGGGUAGAAUUCCACGUGUAGCAGUGAAAUGCGUAGAGAUGUGGAGGAACACCGAUGGCGAAGGCAGCCCCCUGGGUCAAGAUUGACGCUCAUGCACGAAAGCGUGGGGAGCAAACAGGAUUAGAUACCCUGGUAGUCCACGCCCUAAACGAUGUCUACUAGUUGUCGGGUUUUAAUUAACUUGGUAACGCAGCUAACGCGUGAAGUAGACCGCCUGGGGAGUACGGUCGCAAGAUUAAAACUCAAAGGAAUUGACGG
rnacentral:rRNA from 1 species